UUUACCUUAAAUCAAAAUUCCAUCCUAAAAUUUAGGAGCCCCCUAAAAUAGAGCAAAAACUAGCUGGAGGGAGACAGAGAUGCGUUCGAGAGAGAGAGAGAGCAAAGACGAAGAAGAGAACAUGAAGAGAAAACGGAGGGAAGAGUUGCCCUUCGGAGCGACAGCCAUUUCUUCGCUCGAGCAGUCCUUCGGAGUUACCUCCUUCGCAGCUCCGUUCGUCUUCGCUUCUCCGCCCGGUCGAUGAAGACCCACGAACGAAGCAAACGGAGCCGUCUCACCUCUCCCCCCGGCCGGAGCUCUCGUACCUCUCCCUCGCACCGCCCAAUUUCAGCCCUAAGUUAUUUAAUGCAGUGGAUCAUGUCAUUCUUCCUAAUGGCAAUGGCCUAAGGUGAGAUCAAAUUCUGGACGACGAUCAAUGGCUCACGAUGAUGAUCUAAAAACCAUUGGAGAUAGGUUAAAGUAGAUGAUCUUGAUGACGAUCAAUUUGCGAUUUGUACGACAAUCUCAAAGCUGUGUUUGACCAGAUCUAUGGGUUCAACUACGCAUGAUUCAACCAAUUUCAAAUGAGGGUCAAUCUUUGAAGCUGAAACACAACUAGAAUAGCUAACAAUCUUCUUAUUUAAAAGAGAUCAUGGACUUUGGUUAUCCCCAAAAUAUUACUCCAAAUAUCCUAAAGUUUUACAUCACUCAUGAAGUACACUCGCCAUUCUUGUCAAAAGACCAAUGUUGAAGGUUUGUUCUACGGGUGAAAAAUGAGAUGUCUUAACUUGUUUUUUUGUAAGACCAAUGUUAAAUGUCUAUUCUACCGUGGUCAGAUGAUUAAAUUCAUAGUUCAAGUCACUAUUUUGUUUAAAUUUAACAUAAUUAUUAUAGUUUCCUUUUAGUAUUUUAAGCAGAAGAGUCCAAGUAAGAUUCUCUUUUGUAGGGAUAAGGAACACAGUUUCCUUUUCAAACCUUCUAGGUAGAAAUUGGUGUUUUUCCUGCCAAGAAAAAUAAAUAAUAAAAUUCAUUGUCCAGUUACCUUUUCUUAUUUUCACUUGAUAUUCAGUUUUGCUAAUACUUUUACGUAAAUGUUCUUUAUGUGUGCAUAUAUUGUGUUCUUUUGGCAUCUUGGGUAUGAAGUUCAGAUCCAUGAGGCUUUGUAAAUGAGUUUUGAUUUUCUUUAAAGUUACAUGUUUUAGUUAUGGCUCAAACUACAAAUUUUAUUUAUCUAUGUGAGGAAAAAGUGUUUUCAAAGUGCAUAGAUAUGUGAUUUUUCUUUUUCUUAUUCAUGUAUCUUUUUUUUCUCAAUCAAUAUUUUACAAUUUUUGUGAUUAUUCUUUUCUUGUUUAUGUGCAUAGAUCUGGGGUUGAUGGAAUUAUCCAUUGAGCAUAAUAUUUAUAUACAUGCAUGGGGUAGUUUGGAGCCACCAUGGAUUGUUUUGUUGGUUUAUAUAUAUUUUUUUUUAUUUGUAAUGUGCUUUGUUAUAAGGACUCUACCAUGCCCAUUCUUUUCAAACCUGACAUGUUUCAAUUUAUAGCUUUGACAGGGGUUUCUCAUACAUAUUAUUUUAUACACUUCCAAAAAAAAAAUAUUUUUCUGAAAAUUUAUCUUCCUAUUAGCUCUUCAAUUUCAAAUACUCCUUUUAUUUGUCUAUCCACAUGUUGGUUAAUAAUAACAAAUAAUAUAUAUUAUUUAUUCAAUCUCACCAGAGUGUAUUUACAUUUUUAUUCUUCACAUAUGUUAUAAGACCCAUUAUUAAACCCAUGGUCAUGGGUUCGAGGACCGUCCUCCGCUUUGAAUAAUUUUUACAAAAACUCUAAAAAUAUGGGACAUGUUUGUGUAAACGCCACCAACAACCUUCGCUUUAUAAUAGUAUAGAUAGAUUGAUAGAUUAUACAUGUUCCUUUGGUUGGUUUUGUGAUUAUUGUUUUGGCAAUGCUAUCUGACACAUUUGUACCUAUAUUGUUGCAAUUAGAAGCAACCUUCUAAAAUGCUUAUCCAUGCAUUUUUGCAGAUCAAUAAUGUUGCAACUUUGUCAUUUCUUUUGCAUGAGAUAAUAGCAACUGAAGUUGAUUUGUUCGCGCCAUAUGUGCACUUGGAUUUUAGAGUCAUUUUAGUAUUGGGCACUAUGUAUGUGGUUUUCUUUUCUUUUUUCUUACAAAUUUUCUGAAUUUUGCCUUUUUCCUUAAUAGUUAAUUUUUUUUUAUUUUUUAUUUUAUUUUUUUGGGUUGAUGACUUGUAUCUCAAUGUUAAGUGACAAACCUUUUGGUUGUAAACUAUAAUAGAAUAACCAAUAAGGAUUUGCCACUUAAUGAGGUACAUUUGAUUUGAUUUAGGUAAGAGUGGCCUUUUGGAUUAAGAUUAAUUUGGAGAUCAUGAAUUAAAAUCUUGUUUUGUGUUGCUGCUCUGUUUUAGGGGUGUAAUUGAGAAGCUGUGCUUAUUCUUUUUAAAUCAUUUAUUUAUUUUGUUUUGUUUUAUGCUAUUAGACUUUAGUGCUCCGCAUAUUUUGGUUUUUGUGCGCAGUUCAAGUGGAAUGGUUUACUAAUAAAAAAAGGUUUUCUCAUGCAUAGAGAAACAAAUGGUCACUUGAUUGAAGAGUUUGUUGCUGAUGAUGUUGCUUUUAGGUUUAUCAGUUUGAGGAAUGUUAAGAUGUAUAUUUAAUUUUAGACUGGGGUUCAUUUUGUUUUCUCGUAAUGUUUAUGCGGUUUGUCAAUAUGUGUCUUGGCCAAUCAUGUUUUCUUCCUUUUGGGUUGAAUGUUUAAUACUUGUGUUCUUUUCACCUUAGUUUUGUAAAAUGUUAUUAUACCUUAUUGCUGGGAGAAAAAAAAUCAUAAUAAUGAACUACUUACAAAUGCCAUGGGCACAGGUCAUCGUGCAACGCACAACACCCCAUAACUAGUGUAUACAUAUGUAUAGCAGACCUAUGAGCUAUACUUUUUUUUUAGUAGACUAUGAGCUAUACCUCACCAUCGCAGAUUAUCUCUGUAAAUCUCCUCCCACACCUUUCUCCCUCGUACGUCUCACCCACCCUCACUCUCUUUCCACUGCAAACCUCGCCCCCAUCAUCACUCUCCGACAACCCACUGCUCCCAUUCUCCCCCACUGUUGCGAUCCUUACACUGCAGCACCCUCAAUACUUCAGCGACCUCACCUCUGACUGUCGGAGUUGGUGGUUAGGGUUAUGUUGUGAUUUCCACCUUGCAAGCCCCUCACACUUCGGCUCCAAGAGAGGAGAGUGAGACUCAGAGAGAGAGAGGAGGGGUCAAUGGGGAGGGUAGCUAGGGAGUGACUGCCUAUUUGGUCGUCGGACUUUAAAAUGGCCAGAGAAAAUGCUAGCCGAAGCUGUUGGGUUGGGGUCAAGGGUAAAAUUGUUUUUAAAAAAAAAAAAAACACUUUAAUUCAUUUUGAGUCACAUCACCUCUCACAUUUUUUACACUUCUUUUUUUAAAAAAAAGUCAAAAAAAUAAAUAAAAAAUAAAAAAAUCAACUUUUAACUAUCUUCUCAAAACACCUCUAAAGGUCACAAGUGUGGACUCUAUGUCGAUGUGGGAUAUGUGGUCAGAUAUCCCUGACAUUAUCCAAUGUAAAAAAUGUAACCAUCCUCAAAAUAACAUGUGUUAGGGUAAAAGUGCUAUGUUGUGUCUAUGUAGGGUAAUAUAUACUAGCCUAUACAUAUAAGUUUGUCCCAUCAUUUCUUCUCUCGCUCUAGUCUUUUCAUCAUACACACUCAGUUGUAAUGGCUAAGAGAGCUUCUCUCGUUGUUGUAUUUUCCAUCAUCAAGCACCAUUUUAAAAGAGCUUCGAAUGAUGCAAAAAGCUUAGGGGUAUAAUUAUUUUUCAUUUCCUUUCGAUUUACGUGAUUUUUUGACCUUUUUUUUGUUUUUGUCUUUGUUUUUGUUUUUGUUUUUGAUUUUUCAUAUGAAGAAUGUGAUUGUUUCGAUAGACAGAAGAUGAAGAUGAAGUUAAAAAAAAUUAUGUAUGGAGAGCAAUAUGAGUUUAUUCAUAAGAACUUUGAAAAAGGAUGAGCUGAAACUUGAUGAGAAGGAUGAGGAGACUGAUGGGAAGAAAAAGGAGGACGAGCUUGUUGUUAAGGAGAAAUAUGAGAAAAGGAAGAAUGAUGAAGAGGAGCUUGAGGAGGGGGAGAUGGAUGAAGAGGAGCUUGUUGAAAAGAAGAAGAAAGAUGAGUUCUAUUUGUCUUCAAUGGAAUCUCUCUCAAAGGUUAUGAUUAUUCAGGGCAUUGGGGACAUGACUUUGAAGAGUCAUUAAAUCC